rnacentral:rRNA from 1 species
CCUACGGGAGGCAGCAGUGAGGAAUAUUGGUCAAUGGACGCAAGUCUGAACCAGCCAUGCCGCGUGCAGGAAGACGGCUCUAUGAGUUGUAACCUGCUUUUGUACGAGGGUAAACGCAGAUACGCGUAUCUGUCUGAAAGUAUCGUACGAAUAAGGAUCGGCUAACUCCGUGCCAGCAGCCGCGGUCAUACGGAGGAUUCAAGCGUUAUCCGGAUUUAUUGGGUUGAAAGGGUGCGUAGGCGGUCGGAUAAGUUAGAGGUGAAAUCCUGAGGCUCAACUUCGGAAUUGCAUCUGAUACUGUUCGGCUAGAGAGUAGUUGCGGUAGGCGGAAUGUAUGGUGUAGCGGUGAAAUGCUUAGAGAUCAUACAGAACACCGAUUGCGAAGGCAGCUUACCAAGCUACUUCUGACGUUGAGGCACGAAAGCGUGGGGAGCAAACAGGAUUAGAUACCCGUGUAGUC